GCGUUGUUCGGAAUUACUGGGCGUAAAGGGCUCGUAGGUGGCCAACUCAGUCAGACGUGAAAUCCCUCGGCUUAACCGGGGAACUGCGUCUGAUACUGGAUGGCUUGAGUUUGGGAGAGGGAUGCGGAAUUCCAGGUGUAGCGGUGAAAUGCGUAGAUAGCUGGAGGAACACCGGUGGCGAAGGCGGCAUCCUGGACCAAAACUGACACUGAGGAGCGAAAGCAAG
rnacentral:rRNA from 1 species